CUCAAUUGAAAUAAAUUGUUAGAAGUAACAUUGCCAGAUUUUACUAACUAAUUCCAUGUAUGGUAUGUAUAGGCGAUGUUGCUAGAAUACAUAAUCAUUUAUCUCUUCUCCUUUCGUAAUCAAUUCUUCUGUUUUUAGUGAAAUGUUAUCUUCACAUCUUGUAUUAAAGACACCUUUGUUCAUGUGCUAAGUUACAGUGCUCUUUAUGGUUGAAAGUCUGAGCUAAUACGUUUCCCCUUCCAGGAGUACUUCCAGAAAUUAAGG
rnacentral:misc_RNA from 1 species